rnacentral:tRNA from 1 species
UGGCGCAGCUUGGUAGCGCGCCUCGUUCGGGACGAGGAGGUCGCAGGUUCAAAUCCUG